rnacentral:rRNA from 1 species
UGGGGAAUAUUGGACAAUGGGCGAAAGCCUGAUCCAGCCAUGCCGCGUGAGUGAUGAAGGCCUUCGGGUUGUAAAGCUCUUUCACCCACGACGAUGAUGACGGUAGUGGGAGAAGAAGCCCCGGCUAACUUCGUGCCAGCAGCCGCGGUAAUACGAAGGGGGCAAGCGUUGUUCGGAAUGACUGGGCGUAAAGGGCGCGUAGGCGGUGCGUUGCGUCAGAUGUGAAAUCCCCGGGCUCAACCUGGGAAUGGCAUUUGAUACGGGCGUACUGGAAUCCGUGAGAGGUUGGUGGAAUUCCCAGUGUAGAGGUGAAAUUCGUAGAUAUUGGGAAGAACACCAGUGGCGAAGGCGGCCAACUGGCACGGUAUUGACGCUGAGGCGCGAAAGCGUGGGGAGCAAACAGG